GGGGGUACUGUUAGGUUGGGGUUCUUUUUCCUGUUUUAUUUUGUUUUCUUUUCCUCUUCUGUCCUGGGUUUUUUCUGGGAAGCUGCGUUUCCUUUAACAGCCAUCAGAUGUCACCAGUGAGCGGAGCCCCUGGAGAAGUGUGGCGGCCAACCUGUAGACGCACCUGUGUCUAAUUUUCAAGCGCUGCGGAGGUGCUUCAUAAGGACAGCCUAGCUGACACUCCAGUGCCUGAGUGUUUGCCUUCACUGAUUUCCUUGUGAUCGCCCUGUGACUCCUGGAUGUGGACAAGCGCUCCCCCCUGGAUUUCCUUGUGUUCCUCACGACGCCAUUGGUAUUACCAAUCGGUUGCCUUCCUCCGUGCACUUACCUCCCUGGUCCCUCCCCGUGGAUCCUCUGUGCCUCGCCACCGACUGAGCCUGCCAGCGUUUCAUGUUCCGGGAGCUAACUGUCGAAGCCCCGCUCGGAAGUCAGCCCACUCUGCUCUCCAGCUGCAAGGCUUACCUGCUCGCUCUCCGACGGUAACUCACUUCUCCAGCCGCCACCAUUGACAAUACUAACCUCCGCAUUCAAGUAAGCGUCCUACGAAAGAUUCUCAGAAUUAUUCCAUUUGACCCAUCCCGUGUCUCACUCCGCUUUUUCUCAUAUACAGUCUGAUGACCAGUUUCCUCCAGUCCCAGGUUCCAGAACUAUUUCCCCUGACCCCUCUUCCUUUCACCAAAAUAAAUAUUAUUGUUGUUUCA